UAGCCGUGGGCACGAAUGGACACUGAGAACAUGAAAGAUCAGUACCAGAAAUCUAUAAGUCCGGAAAUUUAUGUCACUAAUCUACCAGGGAAUGCAGUGGUGUCUUUUGAAAGAAGAGGAUGUCAUUCCUCGUAUCAGGGCAAUGGAAGGUCGUAGAGGAAGACCACCAAAUCCAGAUAGACAACGAGCAAGAGAGGAAUCCAGGAUGAGACGUCGGAAAGGUCGACCUCCAAAUGUUGGCAAUGCUGAAUUCCUAGAUAACGCAGAUGCAAAGUUGCUAAGAAAACUGCAAGCUCAAGAAAUAGCCAGGCAAGCAGCACAAAUAAAGCUUUUGAGAAAACUUCAAAAGCAGGAACAAGCUCGGGUUGCUAAAGAAGCCAAAAAACAACAAGCAAUAAUGGCUGCUGAGGAGAAGCGGAAGCAAAAAGAACAGAUAAAGAUUAUGAAACAGCAGGAAAAAAUUAAGAGAAUACAGCAAAUCAGAAUGGAAAAAGAACUUCGAGCUCAGCAAAUUCUAGAG
rnacentral:sRNA from 1 species